rnacentral:rRNA from 1 species
UACAUGGGGUGCAAACGUUGCUCGGAAUUACUGGGCGUAAAGCGUGCGCAGGCGGUUUGCUAAGACAGGUGUGAAAUCCCCGGGCUUAACCUGGGAACUGCGCUUGUUACUGGCAAGCUGGAGUGUGGCAGAGGGGGGUGGAAUUCCACGUGUAGCAGUGAAAUGCGUAGAGAUGUGGAGGAACACCGAUGGCGAAGGCAGCCCCCUGGGCUAACACUGACGCUCAUGCACGAAAGCGUGGGGAGCAAACAGG